rnacentral:rRNA from 1 species
CAGCAGCCGCGGGAACACGUAGGGUGCAAGCGUUAAUCGGAAUUACUGGGCGUAAAGCGUGCGCAGGCGGUUUGUUAAGACAGAUGUGAAAUCCCCGGGCUCAACCUGGGAACUGCAUUUGUGACUGGCAAGCUAGAGUCUGGCAGAGGGGGGUGGAAUUCCGCGUGUAGCAGCGAAAUGCGUAGAUAUGCGGAGGAACACCGAUGGCGAAGGCAGCCCCCUGGGCCAACACUGACGCUCAUGCACGAAAGCGUGGGGAGCAAACAGGAUUAGAUACCCCUGUAGUCCCUGUCUCUUAUAA